rnacentral:rRNA from 1 species
CAAUAGCGUAUAUUAAAGUUGUUGCAGUUAAAAAGUUCGUAGUUGGAUUUCUGGUAGGAGCGACCGUGCCGAACUUGAUUGUUCGAGUAUUGUGUUGUCUUCAGCCAUCCUCGUGGAGAACUUUUCUAACAUUAACUUGUUGGGAUUGGGACCCGCGUCGUUUACUGUGAAAAAAUUAGAGUGUUUAAAGCAGGCAUUAGCUUGAAUACAUUAGCAUGGAAUAAUAAGAUAGGACUUUGGUACUAUUUUGUUGGUUUGCAUACCAAAUUAAUGAUCAACAGGAACAGUUUGAGGAUAUUCGUAUGAACAUGUCAGAGGUGAAAUUCUUGGAUUUUGAUCAGACGAACUACUGCGAAAGCAUUUAUCAAGGAUGUUUUCAUUAA